rnacentral:misc_RNA from 1 species
AAAGUCGUAACAAGGUCUCCGUAGGUGAACCUGCGGAGGGAUCAUCAAAGAAUUUAACAUAAAACCCAAGUGUUUCUCCCGAGACACUUCAAACAAACGAUCGCAACUAACUGUGUCUUUUACGAGGGGAGAAAAGUGUUUGCCUGAUAUAAACAUUGAUUUGGAAAUGAGAAAUAUACAACUUUCAACAACGGAUCUCUUGGCUCUC